rnacentral:rRNA from 1 species
UACGGGGGGGGCAAGCGUUGUUCGGAAUUACUGGGCGGAAAGGGCUCGUAGGCGGCCAACUAAGUCAGACGUGAAAUCCCUCGGCUUAACCGGGGAACUGCGUCUGAUACUGGAUGGCUUGAGUUCGGGAGAGGGAUGCGGAAUUCCAGGUGUAGCGGUGAAAUGCGUAGAUAUCUGGAGGAACACCGGUGGCGAAGGCGGCAUCCUGGACCGACACUGACGCUGAGGAGCGAAAGCCAGGGGAGCAAACGGG